GGGGAAUUAGCUCAGUUGGCUAGAGCGCACGAUUCACAUUCGUGAGGUCACUGGUUCGAGCCCAGUACUCCCCACCA
rnacentral:tRNA from 1 species